rnacentral:rRNA from 1 species
ACUGAACGCUGGCGGCAGGCUUAACACAUGCAAGUCGAGCGGGGGAAGGUAGCUUGCUACCGGACCUAGCGGCGGACGGGUGAGUAAUGUUUAGGAAUCUGCCUAUUAGUGGGGGACAACAUCUCGAAAGGGAUGCUAAUACCGCAUACGUCCUACGGGAGAAAGCAGGGGAUCACUUGUGACCUUGCGCUAACAGAUGAGCCUAAGUCGGAUUAGCUAGUUGGUGGGGUAAAGGCCUACCAAGGCGACGAUCUGUAGCGGGUCUGAGAGGAUGAUCCGCCACACUGGGACUGAGACACGGCCCAGACUCCUACGGGAGGCAGCAGUGGGGAAUAUUGGACAAUGGGGGGAACCCUGAUCCAGCCAUGCCGCGUGUGUGAAGAAGGCCUUAUGGUUGUAAAGCACUUUAAGCGAGGAGGAGGCUCUUUUGGUUAAUACCCAAGAUGAGUGGACGUUACUCGCAGAAUAAGCACCGGCUAACUCUGUGCCAGCAGCCGCGGUAA